rnacentral:rRNA from 1 species
AAUGAACGCUGGCGGCAGGCCUAACACAUGCAAGUCGAACGGAUCCUUCGGGAUUAGUGGCGGACGGGCGAGUAACGCGUGGGAACAUACCCUUUGGUACGGAAUAGCCUCGGGAAACUGGGAGUAAUACCGUAUGUGGUCGAGAGACGAAAGAUUUAUCGCCAAAGGAUUGGCCCGCGUUGGAUUAGGUAGUUGGUGGGGUAAUGGCCUACCAAGCCGACGAUCCAUAGCUGGUUUGAGAGGAUGAUCAGCCACACUGGGACUGAGACACGGCCCAGACUCCUACGGGAGGCAGCAGUGUGGAAUCUGAGACAAUGGGGUAAACCCUGAUCUAGCCAUGCCGCGUGAUCGAUGAAGGCCUUAGGGUUGUAAAGAUCUUUCAGGUGGGAAGAUAAUGACUGUACCACCAGAAGAAGCCCCGGCUAACUCCGUGCCAGCCGCCGCAGUAA